GAGAAUCCGAGCAGAGUGCCACUGCGACGAGAGUCUACGACACACCUGAAAAUAAGACAUGGAAAUGAUGGAGUGUGUUACUGGUGUGAUAGGCGGUGGUGUAUCUUUAGUGACCAGUUUAUGUGGCAUAGGCAGGCAGCUCUUGGACCUGUGGAAUCCCAUCCGUCCAUUCAUCGAAUUGGAUUACAAAAGGAGCAGCGUUAUUGGUAAAAGUUGACUACUGGGUUAAUAAGGGAUUUGCUGCAAUAGGUAAAAUUGCAGAAGGAUGUGGUCUCAUGAGUCAGGGUACAUCUUUUGGGAAGGUGCUCUUUGCCUUCUGAAGCUUCUCUUAGAUUCUGAGGUCAUGACCGGGAUCUCAAUGUAACAACGUAGAAUGAUGUAGCCAUCGAACUUCCAUAAAACAACAUUCAUCCUAAUGAAAGUCACCGCUCUGCGUCUGUGCAGAGCCAUAUGAUGAGGACCACCACCCCAGAGACCUCAAUGAAGAUGUCUACAAGCAUCGGGAUCCUAUGACUUCAUGAUAAUACAGCUUCUGUCUACUUAUCUUUGGUAUUGACCCUUCCUAUGGUGUCUGGCUCUGUGAACCCCUCUGCACUAUUGUAAUCACUUAUUUCCUGCGAUUAUAUAAUCAUUAUGCAUUGUAUAACUUUUCAUUAAAUUGUGCUUUGCAUGUAAGAAAUG